GACGAACCGUGCGAACGUUGUUCGGAAUCACUGGGCAUAAAGGGCGCGUAGGCGGCCUGUCAAGUCAGGGGUGAAAUCCGGCAGCUCAACUGUCGAAGUGCCUUUGAUACUGACGGGCUCGAGGGAAGUAGGGGUGUGCGGAACUUCCGGUGGAGCGGUGAAAUGCGUUGAUAUCGGAAGGAACGCCGGUGGCGAAAGCGGCGCACUGGACCUCUUCUGACGCUGAGGCGCGAAAGCUAGGGGAGCAAACGGG
rnacentral:rRNA from 1 species